rnacentral:lncRNA from 1 species
ACAAUGGGGGCCCAAGGUGAGAUGAAGCUGUAAUCUCACUGGAAGGACUAGAGGUUAGAGGAGACCCCCCCGAAAUAAAAAACAG